GCCGCGGUGGCGGAAUGGUAGACGCUCAGGUCUCAAAAACCUGUGGGAGUAAUCCCAUGAGAGUUCGAGUCUCUCCCGCGGCA
rnacentral:tRNA from 1 species